ensembl:ncRNA C34F11.18 ncRNA
AACUGAUAACAGUUUAACACAGUGCUCCAAAGGGGAGAGCACACAUGUUAGUCACUUUUGCUGAAUUCUUAUUUAAUUAUUAUUCUAAAAAGUGAUGCAGAUUUAAGUAAACAAACAUGGCGAUAUGAAUUUCUCAAUU